CCCCUGUUCUCGAACGAUCACUGAAGUUAAGCAACAAUGAGCCUGGUUAAUAUCUAGAUGAGUGACCGCUUGGGAAUACCAGGCGCUGUAA